rnacentral:rRNA from 1 species
AUACGUAGGUGGCAAGCGUUGUCCGGAAUUAUUGGGCGUAAAGCGCAUGUAGGCGGCGGUUUAAGUCUGUCGUGAAACUGCGGGGCUCAGCCCCGUAUGGCGAUGGAAACUGGACGGCUUGAGUGCAGGAGAGGAAAGGGGAACUCCCAGUGUAGCGGGGAAAUGCGUAGAUAUUGGGAAGAACACCGGUGGCGAAGGCGCCUUUCUGGACUGUAUCUGACGCUGAGAUGCGAAAGCCAGGGUAGCGAACGGGAUUAGAUACCCCGGUAGUCCUGGCCGUAAACGAUGGGUACUAGGUGUGGGAGGUUUCGACCCCUUCCGUGCCGGAGUUAACGCAAUAAGUACCCCGCCUGGGGAGUACGGCCGCAAGGCUUAAACUCAAAGGAAUUGACGGGG